rnacentral:rRNA from 1 species
AGCGUAGGCGGACAUUUAAGUCAGGGGUGAAAUCCCGGGGCUCAACCUCGGAAUUGCCUUUGAUACUGGGUGUCUUGAGUAUGAGAGAGGUGUGUGGAACUCCGAGUGUAGAGGUGAAAUUCGUAGAUAUUCGGAAGAACACCAGUGGCGAAGGCGACACACUGCUCAUUACUGACGCUGAGGCUCGAAAGCGUGGGGAGCAAACA